rnacentral:misc_RNA from 1 species
AAGUCGUAACAAGGUUUCCGUAGGUGAACCUGCGGAAGGAUCAUUACCAAGUCCUCUUUUAAUAUGGAAAACACCGCUUGUGUGGAGUUGUUUGGAAAUUGUAUUAUUCAUUUGGCCUGUGGUUUUGGGGGUGUCGAUAAGACGCGGGUUUGUGCCGUGUCGCGGUGGUGGAGAAGCGAGAACGGGAAUGUUUGUCCUUGUCUUGCUCUCUUCCUCUUUGCACGAUUCAACACGACGCGCGUUCCGUCCCCCUCGAACGAAUAACCCAGGCCAACAUGAUGACAACACCUUGUCAACCUGUAUUCUUUUAUAUACCCCCCUUUCUGUUUCUGAAACAGAAAACACAAUGUCAUACAACUUUUAACGGUGGAUCUCUUGGCUCGC